rnacentral:rRNA from 1 species
UUCCUCAAGUUGGCUAUUUAUUAAAAAUCCCCGGGGAAAAUUUUUUGGCUGACGCAGUGCUCAGCUUCUGGACGUUGCGUCGGAAAGUUUCAUGAACCUUAUCACUUAGAGGAAGGAGAAGUCGUAACAAGGUUUCCGUAGGUGAACCUGCGGAAGGAUCAUUC